UUGAUAGAAAAGUGGCAGUAUCGUAGCCAAUGAGGUUUAUCCGAGGCGCGAUUAUUGCUAAUUGAAAAGUUGGUUAUUCAUCCUUUCUGAUGGAGGUGUAAUAUUCCAUUGUGUAUAUGAACCACAUCUUCUUUACUCAUUCAUGU